rnacentral:lncRNA from 1 species
AGAACUCAAAAAGUUAGACUCCAGAGAGUCAAAUAACCCUACUAAAACAUGGGUACAGAGCUAAACAAAGAAUUCUCAGCUGAGGAUUAGCAAAUGGCUGAGAAGUACUUAAAGAAAUUUUCAACAUCCCUAGUCAUCAGGGAAAUACAAAUCAAAACAACACUGAGAUUCCAUCUCAUACCAGUUGCUGGCGAGGAUGUGGCAAAAGAGGAAAACUCCUCCAUUUUUGGUGGGAUUACAAAUUGGUACAAACGCUCUGGCAAUCAGUCUGGAAGCUCCUCAAAAAAUUGGACAUCACACUACCUGAGGACCAAGCAAUACCACUCCUGGCAUAUAGCCAAAUGAUACUCCAACAUGCAACAAAGACACAUAUUGCACUAUGUUCAUAGAAGACUUAUUUAUAGUAGCCAGAAGUUGGAAAGGACCCAGAUGUCCUUCACCCGAGGAUUGGAUACAGAAAAUGUGGUACAUCUACCCAAUGGAGUACUACACAUCUAUCAGAAACAAUGACUUCAUGAAAUUCAUAGGCAAGUGGACAGAACUAGAAAAUAUCCUGCAUGAGGUAACCAAAUAACAAAAAAA